rnacentral:rRNA from 1 species
CGUAGGGUGCAAGCGUUUAAUCGGAAUUACUGGGCGUAAAGCGUGCGCAGGCGGUUUUGUAAGACUGUCGUGAAAUCCCCGGGCUCAACCUGGGAAUGGCGAUGGUGACUGCAAGGCUAGAGUUUGGCAGAGGGGGGUAGAAUUCCACGUGUAGCAGUGAAAUGCGUAGAUAUGUGGAGGAACACCGAUGGCGAAGGCAGCCCCCUGGGUCAAAACUGACGCUCAUGCACGAAAGCGUGGGGAGCAAACAGGAUUAGAUACCCUGGUAGUCCACGCCCUAAACGAUGUCUACUAGUUGUCGGGUCUUAAUUGACUUGGUAACGCAGCUAACGCGUGAAGUAGACCGCCUGGGGAGUACGGUCGCAAGAUUA